GGGGAAAGAUCUCUUUAUGGAAAUUUCUCUUUGGUGAAGCUUUCUCCUGCAAAUGUAGACUCUUCUGGUCUGUUUAGUUGCAGAUGUGGAAGACUUUCUGCAGCAGUAUCUGCCAGAGCCUUCCAUGUACCAAAUUGCCUCCUCACCUGCCACACACACUCAGAAGGAAAGUUUUAUCUGAAGCAUAAAUCCGAGCUGGUCCUUUGAAGAAAACAUCAAACUUUUUCAACACUGGAACAAAAAAACAGAGUUACUUCAUCAAAGGCAGUAGUCUACCUAAACGUGAGAUCAUUAAUGGGAAGAGUGUAUUAUCAUAAGACUGCAGUCCCAUGGAGGAACGUGUUUAGGAGAGGAAAGCAAGGAUUAACUAAAACCAGGGAAACUAAAGGAAGAAUCCCUUUUUUUCUUUUUUUUUUUUUUCCUCAUAAUAUAUUAAGAGUCACAGUGGUUUUAGGUGUACUUUCACUCUGUGCUAUCCUACUUGUUACUAUAUAUCCUCUUCAGGAAUCUGCAGUACAACAUCCUUUGUUGGCAUUUCUGAUAUUGUCCA